AUUGAACGCUGGCGGCGUGCCUAACACAUGCAAGUCGGGCGGUAACAGGCGUAGCAAUACGUGCUGACGAGCGGCGAACGGGUGAGUAAUGCUUUGGAAUCUUCCCAGUAGUGGGGAAUAACCGGUCGAAAGAUUGGCUAAUACCGCAUACGUCCGAGAGGGGAAAGCGGGGGACCGUAAGGCCUCGCGCUAUUGGAUGAGCCAAAGUCGGAUUAGCUUGUUGGUGAGGUAAUGGCUCACCAAGGCGACAAUCCGUAGCUGGUCUGAGAGGACGACCAGCCACACCGGAACUGAGACACGGUCCGGACUCCUACGGGAGGCAGCAGUGGGGAAUAUUGGACAAUGGGGGAAACCCUGAUCCAGCGACGCCGCGUGUGUGAAGAAGGCCUGCGGGUUGUAAAGCACUUUUAGUGGGGACAAAAGCCAGGGGCUAACACCAUCUGGUCUUGAUUUAACCCACAGAAAAGCACCGGCUAACUCUGUG
rnacentral:rRNA from 1 species